GACGUAGGGGGCCAGCGUUGUUCGGAAUUACUGGGUGUAAAGGGUUCGUAGGCGGUGCGGCAAGUCGGGAGUGAAAUCUCUGGGCUCAACCCAGAGGCUGUUUCCGAAACUGCUGUGCUUGAGUGUGGGAGAGGCGCGUGGAAUUGCAGGUGUAGCGGUGAAAUGCGUAGAUAUCUGCAGGAACACCCGUGGCGAAAGCGGCGCGCUGGACCACUACUGACGCUGAAGAACGAAAGCUAGGGGAGCAAACAGG
rnacentral:rRNA from 1 species